CGCGUAGGCGGCUCGGUCAGUCAGGCGUGAAAUUCCUGGGCUUAACCUGGGGACUGCGCUUGAUACUGUCGAGCUUGAGGCCGAGAGAGGGUGGUGGAAUUCCCAGUGUAGAGGUGAAAUUCGUAGAUAUUGGGAAGAACACCGGUGGCGAAGGCGACCACCUGGCUCGGUUCUGACGCUGAGGCGCGACAGCGUGGGGAGCAAACA
rnacentral:rRNA from 1 species